rnacentral:rRNA from 1 species
CGUGGAGACAGGUGGUGCAUGGCUGUCGUCAGCUCGUGUCGUGAAAUGUUGGGUUAAGUCCCGCAACGAGCGCAACCCUCACCUCUUGUUGCCAUCAGGUCAUGCUGGGCACUCUAGAGGAACUGCCCCGGUCAACGGGGAGGAAGGCGGGGAUGACGUCAAGUCAUCAUGCCCCUUACGUCCUGGGCUACACACGUGCUACAAUGGCCGGUACAAAGGGAUGCCACACCGCGAGGUAGAGCUAAACCCAAAAAACCGGUCUAAGUUCAGAUUGCAGUCUGCAACUCGACUGCAUGAAGGAGGAAUCGCUAGUAAUCGCGCAUCAGCACGGCGCGGUGAAUACGUUCCCGGGCCUUGUACACACCGCCCGUCACACCACGAAAGCCGGCUGUACUCGAAGUCGCUGAG